GACGAACGCUGGCGGCGUGCUUAACACAUGCAAGUCGAAAGGUGAAGCUCCAGCUUGCUGGAGUGGAUCAGUGGCGAACGGGUGAGUAACACGUGAGCAACCUGCCCCUGACUCUGGAAUAAGCGCUGGAAACGGCGUCUAAUACUGGAUACGAGAAGGGUCCGCAUGGGCACUUUCUGGAAAGUUUUUCGGUUGGGGAUGGGCUCGCGGCCUAUCAGCUUGUUGGUGAGGUAAUGGCUCACCAAGGCGACGACGGGUAGCCGGCCUGAGAGGGCGACCGGCCACAAUGGGACUGAGAAACGGCCCAGAAUCCUACGGGAGGCAGCAGUGGGGAAGAUUGCACAAUGGGGGAAAGCCUGAUGCAGCGAAGCCGCGUGAGGGAUGACGGCCUUCGGGUUGUAAACCUCGUUCAGCAGGGAAGAAGCGAAAGUGACGGUACCUGCAGAAGAAGCACCGGCGAACUACGUGC
rnacentral:rRNA from 1 species